GAAAAGUCAAUUAUAUUGUACCCAAAAAAAACUCUGUUUCGUUUAACCUAAUAAAAAGCGGCGCUUUUUUAGAUUUGAAAUCGGAGUGCGGUGGCUCCUCCAGCACCGGUUUUGAUUUUCCUAUUUUCUUCAUCUCUUGCUUUGUAUUAGUUUUUAUAUUAAGUUAUUGGAAGUUUUUGGAUUGCGAUUGGGGAUUCGUUCUAGUUUUAACAAGUUUGUAACUUGGGUGUUUGCGGAAUCGGUCGAGCGUUUCAGAUUUUUUUUGUUCGUGGCUCUUGCGAAGAGAAUGGUACCGAAUCUGAGAUCGACGACGAUAAGCCUGUGUUUUUGCACCUGCUCACAACCCAGAUUUGUUGUCUCGCUCCUGUGCUUCAAGUUGUGGUGAUGCCGUGUGUGGCUAGUGAGUGUUCUGUUUGCAGACUUCACUUCGCCUUUGUUCUCGCUCAUUCGUUUUGCCUGGUUUUAGCUUUUAGUUUCCCAUCUAGUUCGUCUCCUUACUAAGAAGAGGCUCAUCGAAGUAGUUAUGUUUCGCUCUUUGUCUCUGCGUUUCCGAAUCUGGAGGAUGUCGGAUUGCGCUUAUAUGACUUCUAUCUAGGCUCUACUUGACGCUUCAACCGUCUCGGCCGCAUCUGGAAGUGUUUAUUGAGGUUCUGAAUUGAACAUUUACUUGUCAGGUUAUGAAGUUUGGUUCUUGGUUUGGAGAGAUCAUCUCUCAUGUGAAAGGAAGAAGCAGAUGUGAUCAAUGUGAUGGCCGUGGGCAACAUUGGUAUAGCUCAUUCGCAGAAACUUCAGAAGAAAAGAUCGGUUUGUUUGUUUAGACUUAGUAUUUGUCUUCGUUAUUAUUGUUAGUAUGCCUCUAGUUUUAGUUGUUGGGUUCGGUCUCUUUCGUUUCUCGCCUUAAAAUUUUUCUUGUUGUAAGUUUAAGUUGUCUCCCGGGACUAAUCUGUUGUCCGCUGGUUUAGCCUCUCUCUUUUGGGCCUUAGACUCCGGGGAGAUUUCUAUUUUCCGCCGGUUUAAGAUGUGUUUUACAAUGUAUCCUUUCAAAUAUUAUCAAUAACAUCAGAUGACAAAAAAAAAAA